UUGAACGCUGGCGGCAGGCCUAACACAUGCAAGUCGAGCGGAUGAAGGGAGCUUGCUCCUGGAUUCAGCGGCGGACGGGUGAGUAAUGCCUAGGAAUCUGCCUGGUAGUGGGGGAUAACGUCCGGAAACGGGCGCUAAUACCGCAUACGUCCUGAGGGAGAAAGUGGGGGAUCUUCGGACCUCACGCUAUCAGAUGAGCCUAGGUCGGAUUAGCUAGUUGGUAGGGUAAAGGCCUACCAAGGCGACGAUCCGUAACUGGUCUGAGAGGAUGAUCAGUCACACUGGAACUGGGACACGGUCCAGACUCCUACGGGAGGCAGCAGUGGGGAAUAUUGGACAAUGGGCGAAAGCCUGAUCCAGCCAUGCCGCGUGUGUGAAGAAGGUCUUCGGAUUGUAAAGCACUUUAAGUUGGGAGGAAGGGCAGUAAGUUAAUACCUUGCUGUUUUGACGUUACCAACAGAAUAAGCACCGGCUAACUUCGUG
rnacentral:rRNA from 1 species